CACAUGCAAGUCGAACGCCCCGCAAGGGGAGUGGCAGACGGGUGAGGAACACGUGGGAACGUACCCUUUGGUUCGGAACAACCCUGGGAAACUAGGGCUAAUACCGGAUACGAGCGAGAGCUGAGAGGUUUACCGCCGAAGGAUCGGCCCGCGUCUGAUUAGCUAGUUGGUGAGGUAAUGGCUCACCAAGGCGACGAUCAGUAGCUGGUCUGAGAGGAUGAUCAGCCACAUUGGGACUGAGACACGGCCCAAACUCCUACGGGAGGCAGCAGUGGGGAAUAUUGGACAAUGGGCGCAAGCCUGAUCCAGCCAUGCCGCGUGAGUGAUGACGGCCCUAGGGUUGUAAAGCUCUUUUACCCGGGAAGAUAAUGACGGUACCGGGAGAAUAAGCCCCGGCUAACUUCGUGCCAGCAGCCGCGGUAAUACGAAGGGGGCUAGCGUUGUUCGGAUUUACUGGGCGUAAAGCGCACGUAGGCGGACGCUUAAGUCAGGGGUGAAAUCCCGAGGCUCAACCUCGGAACUGCCUUUGAUACUGGGUGUCUUGAGUCCGGAAGAGGUGAGUGGAACUGCGAGUGUAGAGGUGAAAUUCGUA
rnacentral:rRNA from 1 species